AGGGACUAUCCACUGAAACAUCUAGAGCCUAGAUACAGGGAUGAUGUCUCGACACACGCACAGAGAGAAAUAGUCCAUUCGGAUCAAGUAUACUUUAAUGGGAAAGAUUAUCCAGUUUACAGUAUUGAUUCUAGACAUCAAAUAUCACCUCGAAGACCAAUAUCUGCUAGUGGUACAGAACACAAUGCUUAUGAUUCAAUUUACAGUCGUUAUGGCCUUUCUUCUAUUGAUCCAUAUCUGCUUUCAUCAAGGAGGGAGGAAGCAGCCCCUCCAACUUAUUCAAGAAGUUAUUUAGCUGAUACUGAACCCAUGAGACAUGCUGCUGGUUCUCUAUCGCAUUACAAUCAAGUGCACUACAAAGAUGUGGAAAAAGAUACAAUGCCGGUUUCAUCGCUGUACUCAUUCGCUGGUCCAUCGUUCUCUUAUCGCUAACUUUGAUUUCCAUUUUUUGUCCAGAAUUCCAUAUAGCAAUAGAACUUCGACUGCGUAUGAAAUUUUGAGUCUCAGACCCUCAUUGUGCAGUUGGAAUUCCAUCUUACCUUUUUAGUAGUGAUAAUGUGACGAUGGGGGAAGUAGGGUUUUGGCUGUUGUAUUGGAUUUUGUUGGCGAGUGCUUAAUUACUUGCAAGAUUGCUCUAUCAAACUGGGGUUCUUAAUCAUUGCUGCACUUGUUUUUGACGCGAUGUAGAAUUUGAGGAUGAUUGCAAAUUGUUGAUGAAAAAUCUCGAGUAGGUCAAGAAUAAUGUGAAUAUGGAGGACGUUAUUUAUGUAGCACAAUUGUUUUUAACGAUUUCACUUUUUGUAACUCUAGGUAGUUUUGUAAAGUUAGGCAGGUUUGCAUGCUUCUUAUACAGUACAUUGUUUAAAUUAUAUUUUUAUCUUAUUUUGAUCUUUAAACUUUGAACAAAUUUUGUUUAGGAUGUUGGAUUUAGUCCUUGAUCUUUUAAAGAAGAUUGCGUGAUGAUGGGCACUGGUUGCAAUUUGAGAAUGCAGUCUCCAUUACGAGUUUACUCACAUUUUUUAGAUUAAGAAUAAUUAGAACCGUGAACAGGGACUUUCUAGUCAAUGACUAUCCUUUUCAUGUUCAAUGAAAAACACAAGAACGUUUAUUUGAAUGGUUUUUGGUUCGAGUUUGAGUUCAAUUUGGUAGAUUGAGAUGGGCACAGGACACUAUGUUUCAAUAUCAGUUAGAUUAUUGUAAUCUUGGAAAGCAAAUAGUCUCUAGUGUUAAACUACAUAGAUCUAACUAAAAUAAACCAUGCCUGCUUAUUUGGAAUCAUGUCGACCACAUAAAUGCCCAUUCGAUCUAAAAUAGUGGCCACGCCAAUAAUUUUUGAAAAAAACAUUUUGGUAGAUAUCAAAAUAUAACAAAAUUUAAAUUUAGGGAAUGGAAUGAGAUUUAAACCUUGUUUAUUAUGGUAUUUUGAAAAUAUUUUAGGAUGUGAUUGAUCUAUCAAAUUUGGAAAUAAUAGUGGAAGUAGGAAUUUGUGUUGAAACUGGUAUUGAGCUUUUGAACGCCUCGAACAGAAACACUUGUAACUUGGUCGCUUGUUGAAUUAAUCACCUGGAUGAUAGUUCUCUAGAAGAUCGAUACAUAUAUAGAAUGCCUAGAUUGGUCACCUAGAUAAAAUGCCUAGAUUGAUGGUCACUUGGACGGAACACCUAAAUAGUAUGCUUAGCUACAAGAUAGAAUCUUGUAAGAUGAAGGUUGAGUUGUGGAACAUGCUUUCUUUAGGACGUUUCGUGGCUUUUCUCAAUUAUAAAUAACUCUUAAUAUUGCAACGUUGUCUCAGGGUAAAACAACCUAAUAAUUGACCGAAGUUGCAUCAAAAUCGAUUGAAAUAUCGAACUCUCAUAGAGAGAAUUUUGUAAGAGAUAAGUUUUUUGAUGAUUCAAAAUGAUACGAGAAGAUGGACUAUAUAUAAUAUAUAGGCUUCAUACCACCUUAGUCAUAAGAGCAUUAAUGCCUGCGGAUCUGUAACGCCUCAAUGAUCAUGCUAAAAACAUAAUGUUUCAAUGUCAUGUUAAAGCGUAAUGCUUCAACGAUCGAUGCGUUAAGCGAUCAGAGCACCUAGCCCCUUAACACCUCACCUCUAAACGUGUUUAUACAAUCUCAAUGCCUCGUCUAAUGCCUUCAAGGUUUUAAUGUCUCAACAAAACUUUACUAAUUUUUAUUAAUAAAAACAAAAUAAACAUUUAAUAAAAUUAUUAUUAUUUUAUUCUUCACCUCAUCAAUCCUAUUAGAUUUACGAAGUGAUAUCAACAAAUCCACAUUUGUUCAUCUUCUCACUUCCUCUAACACAUGAAUAUCCCAACUUCAAAUUCUUCCUUUCCUUUAAGACAUGAAUAUCCCAGCUUCAAAUUCUUCAUCCAAUAGUUCGUCAUAGCCACCAAUGUAACAAUUGUCUAACUCUGAAUAGAUUCCACAACUACGCCUCAUCUCAUCGGAAACCCCACCAAGUUUUUCGUUGCCACCACAGUAGUCACCUCCAUAACCGUUUGAUUCCACAAUUUCCGAUUGCAUCUCUCUUGCCACCCUCUCCUUAACUAUAUGGUGCUCCACUCUCCACCUGCAUAUGGUAUUCCACCACCAUCUACUCCCGCAUUGUCUCUUCAUGACUGUCUCAGACAGUAUGCUGUUGGCAACCUCACCACCAACUCCGUCCAAAUCUCUGACCUCAUCAACAUCGUACACUCCACAUCCAGCAAAGCCUCCUCAAUCUCCUCCUCCUUGAUACAACGAAACCACUUUAAUCCUCCCCUUCUGCCGCCACCACCACCAACACACCACUGCCAUAACCCACACAAGCCCAUAUAAGCAUUCACUUCCGGCCUCCUUUUCUCAUCUCAGUGACAGCCGCCUUUUUUAUUGGUACCACAGUAGCCCUUUGGUUGGGUACUGAGCAACAUUAUCGAUUGAUAAAUCUCUAACUUUAGGUCUUUCUUAAAUCAAGAGGUGUGUAGGAUGUGUGUCCGGGGAAUAGUUGCUUCAAAGUGAAUUACUCUAGAUACAAUUAUGUUAUGAAUUUUUUUGAUUUAUUUUGAGUAUACGGAUUUCCUUAAAGAUUCAAACUUUAUUUUCAUUUUUUUUUUUAUGAAGUUUUUCUACAACAAAAAUCUAAUAGAUUUCAGAUUUAUGUAAAAUUCUUUUCCAUUUCGAGAACUUCUUAUAUAUGUUUUAUGCCAUCUAUGAAUUUCCUCCCAUUGCCGCCACAAACUCACCUCCCUCCCCCUCAAUUAGAACAGAACAUAAGUUGUGGGUGUUAGAAAAUUAACACUCUCAUCUUGUGCUGCAAGGAUUUAUUGCCGUUACCAUUCAAGAGCAUAUUUAACGACGAAAGAAUGCAAUGCGUGUACAACUGGUUAAGUUAUGUCAUUUCUUUUAUGAUAUAUACUCAAAGAUAAUAAGCAUCAGUGACUUGCACGGUUGGAAGCAAAUAUUGUAAGUCUGGAAACAAAUCUUCCCAUCGACAUUUAUGAUAUACAUCAUCUGAACUUCCUCUCAUUUUCGUAAAAGUAUUCAAGUCUUCAUUUGUUUUUUCUUUUUGAGUCCAAGUGAUUGAUAUAAUGUUUGUAGGGUUAAUUAAUUCAAAUUCAACUUUAUUGUUUUUUCUUAGAAGGCAGGGAAAUCUUGUUGCUAUAUUCUUCCAAUGCCAUCACUUAUUUCUUCUCCAUCUUCGAUUUUCACUUGUGGAAUAUUUUGUCUGAAAUUUCUCUCAAAGAAACUGCACCCAUAUAAUUUAAAUUAAUUAUUUUUUUCCAGUCAACUACUUAGGAAUUUGUAAUCCAAUAACUUAAAAAUUGAAGAAAUCAAGUGAGUAUAGUUCAUUGUAUCGUUUUCUUGAGAUAUAAGUUCGUAGAUAUAAUUAAAUUUGGAAGACGGCAGACAGAAGAGAGGACGGUAAGAGAGAGAAGAGUGAUUAUUAUUUUUUAAAAAUUUAGUUUGAUAUGUCAUAACAUAUCUUAAAAAUAGAAAAAAUAAGAAAAUUGUUGAAAAGUAUAGCAAAAUUUUACUAUCUAUAAGUAAUAGCUCACGAAAGUUUCAUGUUGACAUUUAUAGUUGAUGGUCAGUAAAAUGUUGCUAUAUUUUAUAAAUAACUUGAUUCGUUUUGCUAUAUAUAAUAUAUUUGAAAAUGAUAAAGAGAUAUUAUGUGAAAACAAUAAAAAUUGAAAACACACUAAUUUAAUGGAGAAAAACCAUAAAAAGAAAGAGAUAGUAUGUGAAAAAUUGCUCACACAAAAAUAAUUUUCACUUCUGACAUCGAUUGCACGUAAUACUCUCUCAGAACUUUUGACCAUUUAUACAUUUUUUCCACUCUCUCUAACUAGAGAAAUACAAAAGCAAUUUAAUUAGAGUUAGCACAAUAAAAUUUAAAAAUUUCCAACGGAGACAAUUGAAAAACCAAAGACAAACUCUUUAUAGCCUAGCCCCUGACUUUCUUAUUAGACCAUUUUAAUGUAGAAAAAACUCACGACUUUUCUAACAUUUUUGACGUUGAACAACUGCUCUUCUAAUAUUUGUUGUCAAAAGGAAGGAUUUUAUUUUUUGAAAAACGAGAGUCCCUCUCUCUAGAAUUCACUCUGCCGCCCACACUUCAUCACCAGCUGACCAGGGAACGGGCAACACUAAUGGACAACUGGUGAGCUUCCCCUGAACUCAUAAUUACUUCAAGCAACUGCAUUAAUUCCAAAAAUUCUUUGAUUCAUCUCAGAUUGAUCUUUGAACUUCAAUCCUAUUAAGGUACUUCAUCUACCAUUUACUUUUAUUGUUUCUUCUUGUACUUCCCUUUCAACACAGAUCAAUGGCUUUCUUGCAUCAACUUCCCCGUUUAUGCUCCAUUGAGAAGAAGGAUUUCGUGAUAUUUGUGGACAAUAGACCCAGAGAACUGAAGAUACUUAUCAUAGAGAUGGGGCCUUAUAAAUCUUUUUCAAUAGCCAUAUCACACACAAGAAUCACCAGAAUGGCUUCAGUCCACCUUCAAAACCUCUUAGACACCAAGAACGACUAGAUUCUUUGUUAAAAAGAGAUUUGGAGGAAUAUUGUCUGUGGGUCCAGAAGAGUUACAACAGAAAAGGGACCUAGCAGAGAUUUUCCGUGUUGAUGACAGAAGUCGAAGAUGCUACAUUCUAAUUCCUGAAGGUACAUACAGAAAUGGAUGGACCAAAUUUGUUGAAAUGUUGUCUAGUAGAAAGGAAACAACCAAGAAAAGGAAAGUAUCAACCAAUUAACCAGGUUAUAAAGAACGCUAGACUAUACAACUCCAACACUUCAUCUGAUUUCGAUAGCCGGCCGAGACGAUACAAUCUUAUGCUAAGGUUCUUACACAAGGAAGUUCUUUUGAACUCAUCCAAGCCAUACAAGGCAGAAUCAAAAGGAAAAAAAAGACUAUUUUUUCACUGGAGUAAAACUAAUGUGUAAAAACAAGGAGAUAUUUUCAUGCCGAUUAGAGAAAAAUAAUGGAAAAACUAAAAGACCAAUGUGACACGAUUUUCUCUUUUAAUCCNNNNNNNNNNUCUAAUACAAUAAUAUUUUCACAUGCUGGCUUGACAAUUAGGAUGUUCUUCAUUGUUUCUAAAAUGAGAGUCAAACGAGAUUUUGAAGUGAAACUUGGGGGUAAUAAUUUGUACAAAAAUCUCAAUACGCAAUAUGUGUAUUAAAAAUAGGGUUACCAAGAACCAUCAGGCAAUUGUAUGUCCAGAAUAAAUUGAAUAGCCUUGUUGAUAAAGCUAUUGAUCUCUUUCGUCCUAUGUGUGGUAUUGUUUCCUAAAUAAAAGUAUGGCUUGUAAUGCAGAUGAGGUGCACUCCACAUGUCUGAAAAUAAUAUUCAUAAAUUAAGAAUAUUAAUCAACUUAAUUACGUUUAACCAAAUACAAUUCAGAACAGUAUAAUUUGAUUUAGAAGAAUGAGAAUUAAUUAAUGAAAAAGCAUACUCGUGCUCGAUGAUUAGAUCUUCAAGAAAUUCCACUGGAUUCAGCCACUAAUUAAGCAGAAGGUAGGAUGAGUUUAGAGAUAGACAAUAUAUAUGUGGAAGAAAGUUUACAUACACUUUUGUUUUUUAAAAAAAUAAAAAAACAGUAACGAGAGAUCAUUGGGUACACUUAAAUUUUUUCUAAAUAUUUUGACUAGGUUGAUCCAUUCAUCGAUUAUACCCCAAUCUCUCCACUGUGAACACUUUUUGAAAGAGGACCUUUUUUUUUUCUUAUUACUUGCUCACACCUUUUUUCUUCAGUUUGUAUAACUUUAUCUUUAGCUUUUCUAUUGAUGUAUAAAUAGAGGCAUUCCUAUUUAUAGGUGAGAGAUCUUUUGAGCCCAAGUGAAAAAGAUUGUUCUAGACUUUCUUAUAUAUUUCUGUGAGCAUUUCAUUAAUUACCUAAAGGAAUUCUCUAGAAUUUAAAUGUUAUGAUAUUUCUAGAUUUUAAUUUUGAGUUAUUUAUUUUUAUUUAGAUUCUACAUACUUCCUAAUUCUAAAGUACUUAUGAUAUCUAUACAUUUUGGACAUCUUGUAGAUACAGUUCAAGAAAACUUCUAGGCUUAGUUAGGGUUGCUUAUUUUAACAAUAUAUGCUAUAAUAUUAAAGGAUGAGGAAAAGGUUAAAACAACAUUUGUUACCAUUUUUAAAUGCAAAUGUUAAAAUAAAAAGAAAAAGGGAAAGUUUUUUAAGGUGUCAAACUAUUGUUGGACUAUGAACUAUAAAAGAAAUGGGUGUUCGCUCUCGAGAUCGAUGCAUCUAAAUAUAUUUUCCUUUUUCAUAUACCUCCAUCCAGUAGUAACUUGAUGCUGGUUCCCAGGGUGGUAGACCCCCAUUUUUGCUUUGCAGGCUUAGGAUGACAUUAACAGCAUCGUAGAAACGUUCAGGUUCCAUUUUUUCGCCAACGAUUCCAGGUGGUAGCAAGGAGAGAAGUAGGCAACACUAGAAACAUUUUACAAGUUUUCAUUAACUAUUGUUAAUAGUCCUAGCCAUUAAUGUGAAAAGUAAUGAAUUAAAUGAAAUUUGAAGCCACACCUUUAAGUUCUCAGCAGUGCAAUCAGAAAGUUGCCAUCCAUGAUCACAGUCUGAAAAGGUCCAAGAUCCUUUAGACGUAUGACGGAACAUACUUUUAUAGUCACCUGAAGGAUUGUUUCUAACCUACAAUUUCACCCAACAUAUAACUUAUAAGUCAGAGCAAGGCACAAUUUGAGUCGUGUGUUUGAAUUGAUUUUUCAUGUGUUUAAUUUUUAGAAAGAAGGUACUACCUUGAGACCACCCUCCAAAAAUUUCAUAAUAUAUAAAAAAUUAUUCAAAAUGAGUGUUUAGAAAAUGUAUCUGAGAAGAAAAAAAGUCUUUUUAGUGAUUUUUGUAAAAAAGUUGUGAAUCCCUCUCUCAACAUUUCUUAGUAAAAUAUCCUCACAUGAUGAGACUACCCGGCCUUCUAAAUCUUUCUACUUUCACUCAGACCAUGGCGACCACUACACUCUGUCGCCAGCCACCCAAUGCCAUUGAUAACUACUUUCCGCGACCAAAAAGACCAAGGACUACUUCCACGAUGGCUCACCAGUCUUUGGUCACUGAUUGUUAAUUAGGGAUUGUUCGAAACUAGUGGUGAUAAAAAUCACGACAAAUGACCAAGAAGAUAGAUUGUGAUAUUUAACUAUACUUUAUAAUUAUAAAUAUUUUGAGAAGUUUAGCAACCAAAAUAGAAUUUGGUUCUUUACUGCAUUAUAAAUAUUUUUAAAAUUUUUAUUAUUUAAAAUAAUAUCUCGAAAAUGUAAUUAGAGAGUUUCUUCCGAACAAAAAUUAAAAUAUUAAAAUGCACAAAUAUACUUUUGGAAAACAUUUUUUUUUCUUAAAUAGUCUAAAAAGUACUGUCUGAAUUAUUUACAAAAAUUAAUUAGCAUAUAUUUAAUCACCUGAGAGUUCUUGAUGAAUUGAUGGCCAUUGUUGAGGGCAGUCUCAAUUUCAUGUGUGAUAUUACAAGAAAGUAGAGCUCCCAUGGCCAGAGCAGCAUCCCAUGAUUGACUACCAAAACUUUGUAUUUUCAUACCAUCUUCAGCCAUCCAGAAAUAGUCAGGAAGUCUGGCUAAAUGCUUCUUCACACAUUCACUAUUUGGAUCUUCAAUCCAGCAAGCAAGCAUGCAUAGUGGCUAAAUGUUAAAGAUACAAGAUACUAUAAAUCGAGGGAUCUAUACGUGUACCAAGAUAGUUCUAGUUCAAAAGUGAUCAUGCGUGUUAAUAAAAAUAUAAAUAUAGAGUGAGUAACUGGUGAUGAGCUAAGAGUUGAGAUGCAACCUUUUCGACGCAGCCAAUGGUAAUGUAGCGACUAUUUUCAUCCUCAUAAUGAAUAUGUCUCAUAGUUUCAUUCAAGGCUUUUUGACGAAUCAAUUUGUUAAAAGGCCAUCGAGUCAUGAGUGGUUCACUAAGUAAAUAAAGAGUGUCCCAAAGCAAGUCUUGGACAAAGGGAUGUGGAAAGUACAUAUCUUCCUGCAAUAUUAAUCAUACACACAUAUAAUAUAAUUGGGUGUGGCCUAGCUAAGUUAAAUAUAUAGAGAGAAGGAUGUCUAGCAUCGUACCACAGCACACAUGUGACGAGCUUUCUUCCAAUUAAUUUGAUGGUAAGGUUGUGUGUGAAGUUCGUCUCUUAAUUGUAGAACAAAAGACGUUAGCGGUGCUUGAAACCUUUUGCCAUACAAAUAAGACAUGGGCAUGUAGGUGAUUCGAGUGUAACACAUCAUGUUUGCUGUAUGCAUCAAGUGAUCAAUCAAAAUUAAAGGUUUGAUAUAUGUAUGUACUUACGUUCAUAUAUAAAAGCUUGUGUAUAAAUGUAUAUAAUAUGAUGAAUAUAAUAAAUUUUAGUUUAGGGAUACAGUUAAAAGUUGAACUUACAUGGGUGGAUGGGGAGCCAAGUGGGUAACAUCCAAUAUUCAGGAGGCAUGGGGUUGCUUCCAGACCAAUCGAACACGUUUAAUAUCUUUUCAUUAUUCAGGUCAAAAUAUGUACAUAAGUUGAACACUUCGUAAUAUAAUAAGAGGUAGAGUCAAUUAAAAAAAGUGAAAAAUAGGUCAAGAUUUUCAUUUUCAUUUUUGUAUACCUUUAAAUCAUCAAUUUUAGUCUCUAUAAUUUGAAACAUAUGUUCUGGUUCAUCUACUAACUUUAAAGUAUGAUCAUUUUCUAAAAAUUCUCAAAUAUCCAAUUUUUGUUGUUCAUGUACUUUCAAUAUAUCUAAAUUGUAAUAAAUAACAAAAAAUAUUAAAGAAUUUACAAAUAUAGCAAUAAUUUUCUAAAAUUGCAAAUAUAACAAAAAGAAUUAUCUCAUUUGCCCAUUUUCUUAUUUUUACAAUUUAUUUGAAGAAAUUGCAUGACAAAAACAUUUAGAAAAAUGUAGUUCAUGACAUUUCUUCUUUUGCAAAUGAGAAUGCUAUCGACUUUUAAAUUUUUUAUUUUUAUAAUUUAGAAAACCUAAUGACUAUAUUCUUUUAAUCUUUUUAGCUAUUUUUGCAAGCCCUCUAUUUAUUUGUGUAUGAGCAGGUGUACUUUCAUAUUUUGGUAUAUAUAUGUCAACUGAUGUAUAUCCUAUUUGGUAUAUCAAUGAAAUAGAAUGUACCGUAGUACUAUAACUAAUAUUAGACUUUAUAAAAAUAGGUAUUGAAAUUUCAAAAUUGAUAAUAUGGAGAUGAAAUUGAUAUUUAUACCGAGAGCCAUGUCUUUCCCCAAGAAGGUAUGGAGGUGACACCACCGCGUUGUCGUAUCCAAUUUCUGGAUCUGGAAAGUUGCUCAACCUCAGGUCCUUCCCCAAGUAAACGUAAAGAGAUGUAAUUGAAGGUAGUGCAGAACAUGUUACUGUGACCACCUACAUGCAACCCCCAUCCGCCAUCUUCAUUCUGCAAAGUAUUAUUAGUAUAAUUUUACAUUAAUCAGUCAUUUACUCUAUGUCCCUCUACCUACAUGGUUUUUUUAGUGAAAUAUAUGUGGCUAUGAGAAUCUGAACCUCUAAAAAAAUGCAUGUUUUAUGGUAGUGAAGCUAAAUUCAAUUUGGCAAAGUAAACUUUUUUUUUUUUUUUUUGUAGUGUUUUACAUUCUACCACUAUAUACUUUGAAAUUUAUAAAUUUUAAUGAUAAGAGAAUAUGAUUUACUUGAUGGUUAUAAACAUAACGCAACAUUUCUUUCUUGUGCUCAGGACUCAAUAUUGUGUCCAUUGUACCCAUAAUGUACAUGCAAAUUAGCAUAGGGCACAGGUAAAAUAGAGGGCCUGAUGAUUCACUUGGCCAAUGUCCAUCACUUGCUUGUAUGGCUGCUAGGAAAUAUGCUCCUCUUCUCAUUGCAUUUGAUGCCUUAUCAUAACUUAUUUCUUCUCCAUCUUCAACUUUCACCUGUGGUAUACUUUGUUUGAACUUUUUCUCUCUAAGAAACUGCACCCAUAUCAUUUAAAUUAAUUAUUGUUUUUCCAUUCAACUUCAUAUAACAAUUUGUAAUAUAAUAACUUAAAAAUAUCAAAGUGAGCCAGUAAUCGAUAUGUAUUCCUUUUCUUGCGUAACGAACUAUAUAUAUAUAUAUAUAUAUAUAUAUAUAUAUAUAUAUAUAUAUAUAUAUUACAGAUAUAAGUUUUGAAGACGGGAUGGAGAGUAAGAGGUAAGUAAGAAUGAAUGAGAGAAAAUAUUUUUAUUAUUUCAUUAAAUAUGUUUUGUUAUAUUUAAAAUAAUCUUGAAAAUGAUGUAUUGAUGUAAUAAAUGGUCAUACAGUUGCAUGAUUUCAUGAAUUAAUAUGUCUUUUCGAAAAUAACCAUCUUUUCGAAGAAGAUAAAUAAGUUUCUUCUUUAAAUUGCUUUUAAUAACUUUUUCACAAUCAUUUUCUCUCAUAAAACAUUUAUUUAUUUUUUAAUUUUUUCUUUCCAGUUUGGUUUAUUUUUUCAAAGUAUAGUAUUGGUCAGAUUUUGUGGACGAAGUGCUACUUAAUUUGUUUUAUUACGAGAGAAAAUUACCAAUGAAAUUCAUUAAAACGAGUAAAAUUGUCUUAAACAGACUACGUGAAUUCGUUAGAUUUAGAUUCUUUUUACAAAGAAAUGUAUUUUUCAUUUUCUGGCGAUAUUAUAUAUGAAGAUGGAAAUUCUAAGGAGGUGUCCACCUAGUGAAAAUGUGUCUGACUCCGUGUUGUUUUUGUUUUUUUAAAAAAUGAUCAAUUUGAAACCAUAAAAGUUAAAUGUACCUAUUCUCAUUCUUAAAAACUUGAAAAUGAUGUUACCUGGAGGCGCCAAAGCAAGUCACCACUAGGAAAACCUUUGAGAUGAUUUUUUGUAAAACGUUGGCGUAAGUGUUCGAUUUCCGCUUGCUCUUCGGGAGUUCCUGCAUUUGGAUCAAAUUCCCAUAUUUGUCUUCCUACAAAGUUGUUCAUGGAAUAGAUGUAAGGAUCAUUUCCACCCUCACCUAUCUUAAGUCUCCACAUGAUCGAUCUUAGAUUUGCAAAGAAAACCUUAAACAAAAGGACUAGAAAAGUUCAAACAAAAGGACUAGAACUCGCAGGUACGGAAGGGGAGAAACAACAAAGCAAUGUAAUAAUGGCCAUGAAGUUUAUACAUAAUCAAUAUUCAUUUUCUUGCUAUUGUGCAAAGUUUCUCAUAUGUUUAGUUUGCCAUCUCCCGACUCAAAUAUAUAUACAUGCCCACUUCCACCUAUUUACAAUAAUAUAAAAGAUUGAAACAGAGUUUACAAUUGCUUGAUUUGAGGAGAAAUGCUCUCAUUUUCCUAUAUUUAAUGGAAUGGUCAGGUCACCAUUUAUGUAGGAAAAUUUUCUUGGAUAAUGGAAAUACAGAAAAUCAGAUAACUACGUAGAAUUUAUAUCACUUAUUUCAGCUGGACCCAAUCUAUUGAUUGGGAAUUAUUCCACCUUCCAACCAAAAUGUUAAAAGAUGGAAGUUUCUGAAAGGUGAAGCCGUGGCUGAACAAUUUGACGACUCGUGGAAAGCUUGGCAUUCACUGCCUCACCUACCCAAGUUGGCAAAAUGCAUAACAACACCAUAUUUACUCAAGUGGUCAAGUACUGUGUACUCAUAAAGGCUUGAAGUCCACAAUAUAUUUGGAGUGAUAUUAUGUCGGUGGAAAAGUAAUUAAUUUUUGUUUGAUAAUUUGUUUAAUCAGUUCAUGGCUAAUUUUCCAAUUUUAUUUCUUCACUUCUUUAAAACAACAAGUUAGUAUGUUGUAUGAAAUUAAACUAUGAACUUAUGUAAUUUGAUCCUUUGUUUAGACCGUAUUUAAGAUUAUCUUUUAGAACAUUAGAAGUGAUUAGGUAGAAAUCUUAACCGCAUUUUGAGCGUUCGGUUGAGCCGAUUAUGAACAAAAUUGCUAUAAUCAGUUUUGAAUGAUGUUUGUUCUCAUAUAUUACAUUUUUUAAAAUAUGUUUCUCACUAGGUGACGCACCCCAUCAACUUCACUUCAUUAAUGAUAAGAAAACAAGUACAUCGAAACAAAGGAGAAAAUAAAAAGAGGCUAGAGAUAAGCUCCAAUGAGAAAAGUUAAACUUGCACGAAGAUAUAAAGCAAUUAAGCUUGAACCGUACUUGGCGAAGAUGAUAGAUCUGCUAGUCCACUAUCCCGUGAGCCCACAAAUGUCAGAUCAAUAAUCAAUUAUUUCUUGUCUUUGAAGAUUCAGUUAUUUCUUUCCAGCCAAUGGACUAAAGGACCGGUGAAAUAGUAUUGAAUUUGAUGAUGCCACUUCGAUUCUUUUGGUUGAUGGAGCAGAGUUCAUUAUAGAGGGAAGCAAUGUUCUGAUGAUCAUAAUUUUUCCAGCUCAAUAGGUUCUCCGAUUUAGUCCAAAAUUUCUGAGUAGCAUAGCAAGAAAUGAAGAUGUGGUCAAUAUCUUCAUAGUGUGUUUUAUAGAAUGCACCAGUUUGGAUUCAGAUGAGCAUUAUUUGAUGCAUCUAUGUAUAAGGGUCAAGAUAAAUUAAGAACCUGCAUUUUUGGGGAUGUUUGAUUUCCAGAGAUUGCUAAAAAAAUUUGGGUUUUGACAGAUGUCUCAUCCAUUUAGUUCCUGGCAAUGUAUAGUUUUUUUUCACAGAAACAAUGCUAAAUUUGCCAUCAUUUUUUAAAUGCCAUAUCGGAGUAUUAGGGCCUGAUCUAUUGUCACAAGGAGUAGUGAAAAGUAGGAUUUUAAAUCGUCCCAUUGUUGGGAUUCAAAGUUUCGAAGUGGUCUCCGAGGCUGAAAGUCCCAUUCUGAUGUGUUUUGGUUCCAAGCGUCUUUGACUGAUCUAUUUUGAACUUUUGAAAGCGGGAACAAUCUUGGUCUGUAUAUGGAGAGAGAGCUUUUUUCAUUCUAUGCACUUUUCCAAAAUGAGAGAUUUUCACCAUUGUUGAUUUUCCAUCUCACGUGAACAAGGAACCAAUCCAUCCUUUUAUGAUUUCCAUGGGGCUUUCGAGCUACUAUAUUUUUCAUAGGUGGGAAUUUUUCCAAUGAAGGAUUGGUUGUAUUCAGCUAAGAUCAUCCUUUUCCAGAGAGGAUUUUGUUCAGAAUAGAACCUCCAAAUUGGUAUCGACCAAUCUGUUAACCCAAGCCCCCUUUUUCUUUUGGAGAAGUAGUGAUGACAGACCACCUCAUGAGAUGUCUCUUCUAAUUGGGAUUUUUCCAAAGAGUUAAAUUAUGCCAGUGUCUUUCAAUGGUCUUGUAAGUAGCAAUAGGAGCAGCUUUGAAGACCGAAAGUUGAUGUAGGUGGGAAGGUUGAUGAGAGUAAUUUUGCCACCUUUAGAUAUAUAAGAAUAUUUCCAAUUGCUCAUCUGUUUGUGUAUCUUUUCAGAAAUAUUAUCCCCGAAUUUUUAUAACGAAGGUUUGCCUCCUAGUGGAACACCCAGAUAAUUAAUAGGUAAAAUUUAUUUUUGUAACGACCAAACUAUUUAUACUAAAGUUGAGGUUAUUACCUGAAAAUAAAUAACAAUGUUGACAAUUUCUUGAAAAGAGGAAAACUAAAUUUUCAUUAAAAGCACCAUGAAAAACAUGUUGCAACGAGUUUUACAAAUAUUAAAAAUAAUAAAAACAAAUAAAUGAAAAUAUUUAAGUUCAAAAUACUUAAAACAAACCAUGAAAAGCUGAAGCAAAGCUGUGUCCCCAUAUGACAUGUCACAAAUCCUUUCUGUUGGUUGCCAACUUUUUCUCUAUCUUUAUUUUGCCUGAAAUGUUAAACAUAGAAAAAAAUGAGUAUAAACAUAUACUUAAUAAGGGACCCACUAUUAGUUCUGCUAGGUGUCUGUUAACUUUCCAUUAGGGCUUCGUAAGAAAGUACCCCAAAACUAUCAUGCUCCCGAACACAUGCUAUUCAGUGAUUCCAUAGGGACACAUCUGAGUUGAUCUCUAUGAAUCCGAAGGAAACACUUAAGAGAAACGGGUUGUAAGUGAUCCCGUUUGACCACUCAUAAAACUUAACAUGACAGACUAGUAGUUCCAUCGAACUCACAUCGGUCAUAAAAAAAGACAUAUGGUCAUGACAGGCUAGUGGUCAUGUCAAACUCACAUCGGUUAUAAAAAGGUGGUGAUCCCGAGGGACACCCAUAUGAGUAUAACCUUAAUAGACAAAGUUAAUUAACAAAACACUCAUCCAUAACAUAUAGCAUAUAUCAUAAACAUCAUAACAUGACAUGAAUAUCAAUCAUAAUGUCCUUAUAUCAAUCAUAUUAGUCAUAACAUAUCGGUCAUAACAUCUCAGUCAUUCAUAUCAAUCAUGUUAUGCAUUUUAGCUACAUCAAUACAUAAUGAAAAAACACAUGCAAACGCUUAAUUUAAUUUUUGAAGGUCCAGUAGUACUAGAAUCUCUUAAUGAGAGAUUAGCUUAAUAAAUCUUUCCUCACAGUGGAAAUCGAGUAUGACCAAAAAAUGCAAAUUCUUCAUAUGGUCCCUCCUCCAUGGUUGUAUCAAAACGAUAGAAAAGCUCCAAAAAAGGCUUCCACAGUGGUGCUUAAAUCCAAACUGGUGUGUUCUUUGUAAAACUCAUUUAGAAAUUAUAGACCAUAUAUUUACCACUUGCGACGCAGCCAUUUUCAUUUGGAAAAAAAUUGAAAAUUUACUAAAUUGGGAACACGACAACACAAGCAUAGCUGAUUUUUGUGAACACAUACGCCACAUCAACCAAAAAAAACAAAAAAGGAUCCAUCUUGUUCAACACGAUUGCCACUUUUCCCUUUGGUCCAUUUGGCUGGAGAGAAACAAUCAAAUAUUCAGCAACAAAGCCUGAACAUAGACUGAAUUAUGGGAAGACAUUAAAUCUCUCACGGGACAUUGGAGUAGUAGAUCUAAACUCUUCUCUAAGUACAACGCUACUACUAUAGCUUUAAACAUUCAUGCUUUUGUAUAACUCUUGGGUUUGUUGAGCUUUUCUAUAGCUCUUUCCUUUUAUCUUUCCUUGCUUCCUGUACUUCUUUCUUAAUAUUAAUGAAGCGGGAAUGAUGAUGGUGCUAAGGGGGUGUCCACGUAGUGGAGAUAUCCAGGUGCACCUACUGACCCAUGUAUCCUUUAAAAAAAAAAAAAAUCUUUCCUCAGCCAAAGUUUUCCAAUAGAUAGGUCCUAAACAGGAAGGGAACUCAAUAACUAAAACAAUAAAGUUAACCGUUGAUUAUUGACUCCAAAAUCAACUCAUUGGAAAAUUUUAAUUCCUCUAAUUUAGUUAGUCCAAAAGAAAUAAAAAUUGAUAGGUAUAUCCAAAACCAUCAAAACUCACCCCCAAAUGGCUAAAAAGAUACCAAAUAUGCAACUUGACUUGGAGAAGGGAUGCGACUCGGCUAGGAGAAAGGCAAUCGACUCACAUACAAGGGAGGCGACUUGAAAAUGGCUCGGGUGAAGGGACUUGGCUCACGAAGAGGAGAGAUGCAUGACUCGAACAAUGAUGAAGUUGCACGUACGAGAAGAGUGGCUGGAAGGGAAAGGCUUGUCUCGACCGGCUCACUUGAGGCGGAUGGAGAAGGAGACGACGAAAAUGCAAAGAUCGAACAACUUAUCGAUUUGUUUGACGCGAUAGAGGACUUGACAACGUAGUUGGUGUGAUGGGAGAGAUAGUGGACUUUGCCAUAUUUAUAUUGAGACCAGAAGCAGGUUCAAUGUAACGUCGAAAAAGUAAAUAUAAUUUUGAAGUUAAUUAUCUUAGUUUUGUUUAAUUAGUUUUAGUUUAUCGGAUAUUAUUUUGAAUUCAAUUAUUGAAAAUUAUUUGAUUUUGUGUGAAUUGGAGUUAAUUAAAGGUUGUUGGUGAACAUUUAAUAAAUCGGAGAUUUUGGACUUUUGGAUUUAUUGAGAAUUAGAUUAAAUUAAAUUUGUGGAUUUUAAGAAUUAUGGAAAACUAUAUGUAUUUGUGUGUAUAAUUAUAUAUAUAACUAAUUUAUGGAAGGUAAAAAUAAUUAUAUUUGGUGAGAAAAUAAUUAUUUGUGAGAAGUUGGAAAGUGAAAGGAGAGGCCUUGAUACCCCCUAUUUGGAGUCUAAUGAAAUGGUAUAUAUUCUCCACGUCAUUUGUCAAACAAGCUCUACAUUACUCUUCCAACAUUGAAAACAGUGAGUCCUUACUAUAUAAAAAUCUUUGUGGAAAUAUAAAAUUCCCCAAAAAAAUGUAAAAUUUUCAUCUGGUUUCUGAUGCACAAUGGGGUUUACACUUUUGAUAUUUUUCAAAGAGGCUGAGAAAUCAAUGUCUUAGUCAGAACUGGUGUGUGCUUUGUCAAGAAAGUGAUAAGACUAUUGAUCAUCUCUUCUCUUUCUUCUUACAACACUGCUCUGAAGCAAGAUUGAAGCUUCGAUUGACAGGAAAAACAACAAUCAAAAUUGUUGUAGCCAUGUGGCUGGAGAGAAAUAACAAAUCAAUAUUCAACAACAUAUUUGCUAGCACUAUUAACAUUUGGAAGCAUAUUUCCACUAGAUGGACACCUCCUGAUGCACCUAUUGAUCCAUAUGUAUCUUUUUAAAAAAUAACAAAAAUUUCUAACUUGGAGAAAAAUCAGAGACAAGAAAGAAAUCUAUUACGUGAAAAGUUGCUAAAAUUACAAAAUAAUUUUCUCACUCCCGAAUCAAAAGAACAUCCGUCAAAACUUUUGACCACUCACACUUUUUCUCUACUCUUCAACUAGAGAAUACAACCAAAUUUAAUUAGAGUUAGAUUAUUGUCAUUAAAUUUUUUGUUGACAUACAUUUUCAUAUGAACUCGUCGUAAAUUGGAAAAGGGAGAGAAAACAAAGCAAUAUGAAAUUUAUAUUUAUCAAUAUACAUUUUCUUGCUAUGAUGCAAAGUUUCUCAUACGAUUUGUUUGCCGUCUCUUUCCACAUUCAAAUAGAUCCAACUUCUACCUAUUUCAUUAACUAAUUCCAUAUGUCAAAAUUAUCCAAUAACAAUCAUCCAUUAUUGGACUAAUUCGUUGGGUUUAGAUUUUGCCAUUCAUUAUUUGAUCAUCACAUGUGAGCUAAUUUAGAGAAAAAUGAAUGCUAUAUUUGUUGUUUUAAAUUUAUAAAAUUUGACAAAAUUAUUCAAGGGUUAAUAAUGAGUUUGUGAACAACAAUUUUACAUGAUGUCUUUUUGGUUAAAUGGAGGAAGCAAGUGAAAUUGAUCGAGUAUCAAAUUUGGGAUACUUAAUUAAUUUUUAGUAUCUAAAUUGAUGAACGCGAUAAAAAAUUGAUUUUUUGUUUUGAGCAUUUUCAAAUAUAGCAAAAUGAAUCAAAAUAUUUAUAAAAUAUAACAAUAUUCAAAUUCUAUCACUAAUAAUGAUAAAUGAUAAACUUCUAUUUGUGAAUUGGUAGAAAUAGAUAGACUUCUAUUAGUUUUUAUCAAUGUUACCGAUAGAUACGGAUAAAAGUCUAUCGGUAUUUAUCAUUAAUAGAUACUGAUAGAAUAUUAUCAGUGUCUAUAUGAUAGAAUAUCAUGAAAUUUUGUUAUAUUUUAUAAAUGUUUUCAACAAUUUUAUCAUUUACAAUAACUAUUUUUUUUCUAAGUUGUGCAUAUGCGUCCAAGUAUAUAUAGUAUUUAUUUAGGGGCACUUGUAGAAACAAACAUUUUUAAAAAACUAUAUUAAGUAAUUUUUAGAUAUAAAACCACUUUAAACUAGUGAUAAUUUUUUUCACUUCAUGUUUUCAAUUAAUUAUUUACGGUGGAAUGAGUUGUUUAUUUAAUAUGUUUGGAUGUUAUCACUACCACAAUCUCAAAAAGCAUAGAUGUAUAAUCUACUAAAUUUUGCAUAUUUGUUUAUUGUGUUUAAUAAUCUUUUUUUCAAACAAGUCAAAGACUAUAGUAUGAAAUUUAAGAGGAAAAAAAAAAGAUAAAUUUCAAAAACUAAAACUAUAAUGAUUAGGAUUUCUUUUGUUCCUCUACAUUAAUUAGUUGCCCAUAACUUUAAUUUAAUAUUGGGGUGUAGAUAAAAAAAAGCAGAGCAUUGAAGAUAUAAAAAGCAAAGCAUUAAAGAUAUAAAAAAGAAAGAGGUGUGUCCAUAAAUGAAGAGUAGAUAUUAGGUGAAGAUAUGAAUGAUGUUAUUGUUAUUUAUUGGGAACCAUUCCCUUAUCUUUUCCUUCGGGGUUGAAUUUCUUAAAAAGAAGAAAAAAUAAGCCGUUUGGCCAACACAACAAUAUCUUCUUCAUCAUCUUUUCUUUUCUUUUUUGACCAAAUCAAAACACUCCCUCACUCAUUGUUCUCUUUUCCUUUUCAUAGUUUACAUAUCCUUUACAUAUCCUAAAUUCAAAUAAUAAAUCUAAAAUUUAAAUAAUAUAAAUAAAUUCAAAUAAUUUUUAGAACAAAAUAAUAAAGUGAAAUAAAAAAUUAUUUUUACAAUCAAAUCAUGUACUCGGUCUAUGAUUUAGUUAAAUAAACAUACAAAGAAAAAAUGGCCUGAGGAUUUGAAGGAAGCCAAUUGCAACAUGAAUUAAAUUAUUUUACCAACAUAAUAAUAAAAUCAAAUAACAAAUAUGAAUUAAAAUAUUUUAACAACAAAAAUGUGUAUCCGAACGAUUUAGAUACCUUGUGACGAAAAAACCAGAAAAAAUGAUAGGGAAGAACAAAAAAAUUGAAAGAAAAAAUGGAGGGGAGGAACAAAGAAAUCAGAAGGAAAAAUAGAGGGGAAGAAUACUUGUUUGCUGUGAAGACUGGAAGGAGUGGCUAACUUUUGGUGUAGGAUGGAAGUGUGUAGAGAGAUGUUGAAAAUUGGAAGGCAUAAUGACAAAGAAAAUAAGGGAGAAUAAAAGAGACAUAAGAAAAUUUUUAAGUUGGAAUGAGGCAGGAUGGUUGAAAAUUAGGGUUUUUAAUGAGGCAAAGUCGAGUACUUGGUACAUGACUUCACUACAUGAAGGACACAUGUCAGCUUUCACAUGAACAAAGUUGUGUACACGAUUUUGCCAUUAUAUAUACGACAAAAUUGAUCGUCAACGCUACUGUUGACUGCCAAACAAUACACCUAUAUCGGAGUCGUGUAUGGGGUACACAACUCCAAUCAGACGUCAUGGAUCGAGUCCAUGACUCUAGUCAGACGUCAUGAACCGUGUCCAUGACUCUAGUUAAACGUCGUGGAUCGAGUCCACAACUCCAGUUAGAUUUAGCGAAGUUGUGUAUCGAGUACAUGACUUCGCUCACCUAUUUUUGACAACAGUUUUGAGAAUACUUUAGAUUUUUCAUUAUUUUUUUAAAAACACGUUAUUUUAAAAAAAAUUCAAAAAAGAAAAAGCGCAUUAGAGGAAAAAAAUUGCUGUUGUAGUACAAUUUUAAAUAUUUUAAAAACAUGAAAACUCAAAAUUUCAAAUUCAACAGCUACUAAAUUAGUCCAUCUUGAUUUUAUUCAACUUCGUUUUUGAAAAGUUCUUAUUAAGUACAACUUGAGGGUGAGAGAAUUUGAAUUCCUAGGAUCUCUUGUCCUCAGAAUAAAUAGAUGUCAGUUAAGUCGAACUCAUGUUGACAUUCUAUUCAAGAUUACCUCUUAGUGCUUUUCUCACUUCACAACCAAAACUUUCUAAUUUGUUUUUUUUUUUUAGGUUUUUGCACAUAUUACUUGUUUGGAAACACCUCUAUGAUUGAUGAUCAACCUAACUUUUGAUUAUGUUACUUCCCACUAUCGCAGUUUUAAUGUUGGUGAUGAUCGUAUGUAUAGUAGUCUGAGAUCCGAUCACGUGAUUGAGCAUUUCACCUAUAUCCAUGAAAAAAUCAUAAAAAUAAAAGUGAGUUAGGGAUAUGGCUAGUAUUGCGUUAGGAUGCUACACAUGACCAUCCUAUAAGUUAUAUGAAUAUCUCUUAUGACAAUUCUAACGACGUAUUAUAUUAACAAACGGUUAGAAUUCAUAUACUUUUUAUGGGGUGGGUCAUCAAUGGUAAAGGUACUUUCGAAAGAGGUCAUAUGUACAAAAAAAUCAUCUUUAUUUUCUUCCCCUUUUCAAGCCCUAAUAAGUUAUGGAAACUAUAAUUUUUAUUCUUUACCUCUCUCUUCUUCGAGCCCUAACAAUUUGUCUCAAUAUUAAAAUUAUUUCAACAUUGUCCUCUAUUCAUUACGAUUUUCAUGUCACUCACUUCUAAAUUAUAUUAAUAAUGAAUCGUACGUAAGAACUUCUUCCACUAUUUUUCUCGUUGAUUCAAGUGCAUGAAAAUCAAUGCUACAGUAAUUUCUUCUUUACAUAACAAAAGCAAUUAUUAGUUAAGAUAUGUGGAUAGAUUCAAUGCGGUGGAGAUUAUUGAUCAUGACACCAUGAGCUUAACGUAAUUGGUGGUUAAUAGUGUGAGAUUCCACUCCUAACUAAACUGACAGUGAGAGGAGUAAUUGAUAGUGUAUGAAACACAUUAUCUUUUAAUGCUUAAUUCAAGCUCGUUUCAUAAUUUUACAAUCUUAUUUGAUUUCCUUAUAGGUUUUGAGCAAAUUAAAUUGUUGGUUGAGUGUGGUGAUUAUGUCAUUUGGAAGCUAAUUAGGAUAAUUUGCAGUCAAACAUUGGCAACAGUAGGAAAGCGAGGCUUGUCUAGACAGAAAAGAAAACUUACAGCUUCUAUUUUGUAAUGUUGUGACAACCCACGACCCUAAACUCGGUGCUGUAAGAUAGAAUGGCUCUUACACGCUAAAAAAGUCUAGAGUGUCGUGGCACCGCGACUUACAUUAUAAAUUUGUUCUUUUGGUGUCAGUUGGUUUUAAUUAUUAGAUUCCAGCCACCCUAGACUUGUUUUCUCUCUAUUUUUUUGACUUAUUUCAUGUGAUUUUGGUUCUCGAACAACGCAACUGAAAACACAAGUAUUUACGUGGAAAACUUCCAACUUCUUGGAGAAAAAUCAGAGACAAAAAAUAAAUCUCCAUUAUUUGAAAAGUUGCUACAAUCACAAAAUAAUUUUCUCUCCCGAUCCAAAUUACAAGGAACACUCUCUUAAAACUUUGACCAUUUACACAUUUUUUCUACUCUCCAACUAGAAAAUACAAAAGAAAUUUAAUUAGAGAGCUAGCAUACUACAACUUAAAAGUGUUUUUAAUUGGAACAAUUGAAAAAUCAAAGACAGGAACUCUUUUUAUAGCCUAUAACUUUCCUAGACCCUAAAAAAAUCUCACGACUUUUCUAACAUUUUUUGAUGUUGAAUAAAAUGCAUUUUUAAUAUUUUGCGAAGAAAUCCAACAAUUUUCACCAUCACCUGCCUUAAGCCUCUACGUCAACUCCCACAUUGUCUCUUUUGCCACCUUGGAUGGUUCUGCCGGCAACCCACUACCCACUCUCCUUUUGAAGCUCUAUGAGCCCCAUCAACACCCGACAAUCCACUUCCAAUCUCCUCAUUUUCGCAAUCCACAAAAUAAUGUAAUUUGAGUAAUUUGGUAAUCAAAUCAAGGGAGAUAUUUUAGGAAAAUUUGAAGAAUUGAAGUGCUUGUCUUUGGAGUUGUUUUUCUUAAAAGAAUACAUAUACCCGGACAUUUUCAUUAGAUAGGCAUCUCCUUUAGCACCCUCACUAACGACUUAGGAAAUUAAACAAAAGCUUGAAUAUUUAAAGCCAUAUAGCUAGCACAGUAAUUGAAAAAUAUAUUUGACCUGACUACUUCAAAAUUGAGCGAGAGCUUGCACAUCCUCCCAGAGAUAAGUCUUUGAUCUCUCCUUGUUUUCAAAAUUUUGUUGUUCCUACCAAUCUAAAUGGUCCACAGGAAGACAAAAAUGGUGUUAAAAAUGAAGAUAUACCUUUCAUGUUUUUCUGUUUUAUUCAACAUAUAUCUUUGCACAGAGAACAGUGUUGGUAUUGCUUUUUCACCGAUUAAUCAAAUGCUCAACCUUCUCCCAAAUAUUUGUAGCAACAACACAGGUUAUAAAUAAAUGUAUGUCUUGAUAGUGAUUUUUGCAUAGGACGCACCAACUUGGGUUAAGGUUCCAAUGUGGAGGUCUUUUUUGAAGAUUUUCAGCAAUGUUUAUGCAUUCACUUACAUUUUUUGGAGAGGCUAGAUUUCCAUAAGUUGUUGAAGAUAGAUGGAUUGGUGUUGAUUUCAUCUUUUUGAUCAGUGACCAUGUAUGACUUUUUUGAUAGAUGCAAUACUAAAAUGACCACCCCGAACACAGAUUCCAGUGAGGAGUGUCAUAGCCAUGGUUGCUAUUUGGAGCAUAUAGGAAAGAUUUUAAUUUAGACCAUUGUUUGAUUUCAAAGCUUCUAAAAGCUCUUCUCGGUCGAAUAUCCCAAUCAAGAGUAUUUCGAUUCCACAUGUCUUUAACACUACCUUAUUGGAUUUUGGAGAGGACAUACACACAGUCUUGGUCUGAACUGAGAGAGGGGGAUUUGUCAGUCCACAUCCCAUGCAAGAAGGAAGUAUUUUCGCCAUUGUUUAUCUUCCAAUUAGUUUGAGCGAGAAACCAAUCCACCCCUUUAAUGAUAGAUCUCCAUGGGCCAUAAGACUACUAUAUUUACUUUUUGUUGGGAUUUCUCCAAUGCAACCUUGGUCAUAUUUGGCAAUGAUUAGUGUCUUUUCCACAUAGGCUUUUGUUCUACAUAGAAUCGCCAAAGCCACUUAGUGAGUAAAGCAUAAUUUGUGUCAUUAACACGAUUUAUACCCAAGCCUCCCUUAUCAAUUGGGGCUGUGAUCUUGGACCAUCUAAGAAGAUGGAUGUGUUCUUCACCAGGAUUUUUCUAAAGAAAGUUUCUCCAGUGUUUUUCAAGGCUUUUACCAAAACCAAUUGGAGCUUUGAAGAAAGAGAGCUUAUAUGUGGGUAGGCUGGCAAGAGAGGAGGAGAUUGAUUUUCCCACCUUUUGAAAUAUAAGAAUAUUUCCAACUGUUAAGAUUUUUUUGUGAAUUUUUCAGAGAUAUCUUCCCAGAAAUGAGCUGAUAAAGGCUUAUUACCACCCAGCGGAACACCUAAAUAAUUUAUAGGUAAGAACUGAAUUGUUGAUACCCUAUCUGUUAGUCACAAUUUCAGCUCUGUUUGAGUCAAUAUUGAUAGAAGAGAUGGAAGAUUUGCUGUGGUUUAUAUUGAGACCAGAGGCAGCUUUAAAGAGAUGCAAACCAAACCUAUUUCAGUGGAGUCAAUUGUCUUCUACAAAAAAAAGAAUGUCAUCAGCAAAAAGUAAAUGAGUUAAGUUGAGAUCCUCAUUGAGCAUUACUCCUUUUAUUUUGCCAUUUUGUUCCAGAUGAGUAAGAAUCUUAGCUUGCUGAGAUAAUCCAUAGCCAUUACAAAAGUAAAAAGGGAGAUAGGACCACCUUGUCGAAUACCUCUAGUAGGUUGUAUUUGCCCUCUAGACCUUCCAUUAAUGAUAAUGCAUGGAAUAUUGAACACUGAUAAUGCAUGAUUUUAUCCACCUUCUCCAUUGAGUAGAGAAGUUCUUCUUCAUAAGCAUGUAGUCAAUGAAUUUCCAGCUAACCUUAUCAAAGGCUUUUUCAACACCAUCUUUGGAGUUGUUGGUAACAUUUGUUAUUGUGCUGACACUUGUUGCUGAUGUGGCAGAAGAUUUGAAUUUGAUUGUAUGAGGUUUUUUUGAGGUAACAACAUAUAGCACAUCUCUUUUCAUUAACCACCAUUCGAUAUCUUCGAAAACUCACCUCCGGCCUCAUUUUCACAUCUCACAAACCCAUUUGAGAAUUUCUUCCAUCGGCAUCAUCACCAUCGAUUGUCAGCAAACUCACCUCCCUCCCACCUUAAUUGGAGCAGAAUAUGAGAGUCAGCUAAUUUCCAACACCCACAACUUGUGGGUGUGGGUGUUGGAAAGUUGUAGGUGUUCUUCAAAAUUAACGUCUCUUCAUAUUCUUUUGAGAUACAUAUAGGAGAAGAUAAUAAGCAUAAUUGACUUGGACAGCUGGAAGCAAAUAUUGUACUCUACUUUGUCCAUUUGAGAAGAAGAAAAAAACCCAUCCACAUAUUAUGAUAUAGAUCUUAAUUCUCUUGCCAUAUAAAAUAAAGAUGGUUAGCCCAAUUCUUUAUAGUUUGAUUUACUUAUCGAGAGAAGCUCCAGAACACAUGCAUCUGAACUUUAUGACAUUUUUAUAGUAAAAGUAUAAAGUCUCCAUAUUUUUUUUUUAAUUUUUGAGUCCAAGUCUGCAUAUUUAUUAAUAUAUAUAGUUUAUAGGUUUAUUAAUUCAAGUCUUAACUUCAUUGUUUUUUCUUAGAAGGCAGGGAAAUCUUGUUGCAGUAUUCUCCCAAUGCCAUCACUGGAAAAACUUCUCUAUAUGCUGGAUAGUGUAACAUGCAAUUUUUGAAGAAUACUCCAGUAAUUUCCUGCACAUGUAAACAAUUAGAAGUUGUUAAUUACAUUGGUAAUUAGGUAUAUCUAUAAGUUUUAGAAGGAAACCAAAAGAAAAAAAAAAGGCAUUGAUCACCUUUUGUGGAAAAUCACCAUCUUCAGUUUGAGAAUUGAUCAACACCUUGGCAGCAUGAUGAAUUGGAUUGGGGUCUAUAUCUGCCUGUUAAUUAUAUUAAGUAAUUAAUUAGUGUUAUUUUGAAGCACAUAAACUGAUUUUGAAAUAAUUAAAAUCAUUUUUUUUUCAAGACGAUUCUAAAAUCUAUCUCCUAGAAGAUAUUUCAUUAAGCACAUAGGACUACAAAAAGUUCAGGGCUUGGUGGACACUUUCUUGGGGAUUUGUUUUCAACUGCGCUCUCCACUUCCCGUUUCAAUCCAUCUCUGUAAAAUUUUUUGUUUUAUUUUGCAGAGAGCAGAAUGAGAGCUUUCCACAGAAAAUUUGUAGAUGUUGGGUUAGCUUCUAUCUUUUUUUUCUUCAAUUAAUUAAAUAGGCUGUUAUAAAGGGUACAUUUGUAUAGAGGGUAUUUGGUAUUACCAUGCAUUCUUAUUCUUGUAUUUGUUUCUUAUUAUUGAUGGGGUAUUUAUCCUUUGGCUGUGAGUUAAUAACAUAUUUAGCCCAAUUUGAAUAUUUUGACUUGAGCAAUAUGGUAUCAAACAAAAACUUUUAGGCUCCUUCCAUCGUCGUCAAUGGUUUGGCCAACUUUGAUUUUUUUUCCGUCGUGAGUUGCAACACCUUUUUAUUCUCAGCCAUGAGUUGUAGAUUCAGUUCGCAGAUUUCGUUUUCCACCGGAUUUGUGUGGAUUUCUUUGUUUCUUCGGUGCGCCUUUUUAGUGGGGUUCUUCGUGUGUUCUUUAAUGGCCGAAGAAGAUCUCAUCAAUCCUACUUCGUCGCUUGCAUCAACUUCUUUUUCUCAAACCACCAUAAUUAGCUACGUGGAUCCUUAUUAUCUUCAUCAUACCGAUAAUAGCAGCCUUACUAUGGUUUCUGACCCUCUAACUAAAAGCAAUUAUGUCUCCAUGGAGUAGAUAGAUGAUAAUAUCUCAACUGUCAGUAACAAGCUUGGCUUUGUCGAUGGGAUGAUUUCUUAACCUGAUGUUUAUUCUCCUCAAUAUCGUUCUUGGGUUAUUUUCAAUCAUGUGAUUGUCGCUUGGAUAUUGAAUUCCAUUUCUAAGGAGAUUUUGGCUAGCGUUCUCUAUUUUGACAAUGCUCGUGCCAUUUGGACUUCAACAGCGCUAUCAAAGGAAAAGAACAGAUCACGUAUCUUCCAACUACAGCGUUGUCUUUCCAAUCUAGCUUAGGAACAACAGCCGGUCACUGCCUAUUUCACCCAUUUGAAGACUCUCUGGCAUGAAUUAGACUCUCCCCAUCUCCCCACUUAGCUUACUUACAAGGAAUUUUUCUAAAACUUUUAAACAUUCAAGAUCAAUUUUGAUUAUACAUGAAAAUUACAUUAAAAAAAGUGUAAAGCUAAACAUUAAAUUAUUGAUUUUAUAGGAUAAAAAACAAAAUGUUUUAAGUUAUAAGUGAGAAGGAACUUGCCUGUCCAGCACAUAUCAAACCCAUCAAACCCCAUGCAGUUUGCACCAAAUUUGACCGUUUCCCAUCCAACGGUAUGUAUCUCUAUGUGGUGCAUUCAAUGAUAAUAAUCCAAUCAAUUUAUAAUAUACAAAAUAUAAACAUAUAACUACAACAAAGUUGAUCAUUUUGGAAUGCGAGAACCUUUCGAAAAAACAUUUGAUAGAUCUUUGAUAUAUUUUUUUUUCAAAGGUUAUUUUAACAUUUAAAUAACUUUUGAAAUGUAUCGAAAAUUCCAUAAAAAAAAAGGCUUUAUUUAACCUCUAAAAAAGUACAUAUUUUUCAAAAAAAUUUUAAAAAACCUUCAAUAAAAAGUACAUAUAUCAUUUUCAAAGGUUAGUAGUAAUAAAAAGUAAAGAUUAUUGAAGGUUUUUUCAACAUAAAAUGUGUAUUUUUCAAAAGAUUUUAUUAACUUUUGAUAAAUAUAUAGUUUUUUCAAAAGUUAUUAAUAAUCCUUCAAUGUAUAUCCUUUUGAAAUGAUUUUAUUAUUUUUUUUUGAUAAAAAGUCAAAACCUAUAUUUUUUUUGGAAGGUUAUUUAUUAUCCUCCGAUAAAAAGUAAAUAUAACUUUUGAUAAAUGUACCUUUUUUUCAAAGGUGAUUAAUUAUCCUCUAAUAAAAAAUAGAUAUUAUCGAAGGUUUUCUCAGCACGUUCCAUAAAAUGUAUAUUUUUUUUAAAGGUUUUUUAUUAUUUCGUGAUAAAAAGUAUAUAUUUCUGAAAGAUUUUUCCUAAACCUCUAUAUUAUAGAUAGCUAUUACUGUCUCAUCAUUCUAAGUCUCAAUUUUUAUUCGAAAUUGUAAAGUGUUUUGUUUUAAAAGUCAAAAGUAAUAUUGCAAUUCUCUAAAAACAAAUGAUAAAAUUUCUCCAUAAUUUACACUAAAUUUUGUAUCUCUGCCCACUUAGGGUUGGAAGAAGUUAAAAGAUAAAUAUACAUGUUGUUUUGUUACCUUCGUUGCACAUGACAAGUAGCUCUCUCCAAACCCUCCUUCUGAAUUUUGUAUGUUAAUCAGAAAAUUAGCUCCUUUGCGAAGUGCUUCACAAUUUUCAUAAGCCUUCCCCGCCAUUGACAAUGCCUUAAGUGCAAACCACGUUCCAUAUGUAUAGCAAAUCCCCCAAUUUCCGUACCUAAACACACAAUGCAUGAAAGUUCUACCUUAUAUAAGUGCUUUAUAUACGGAUUACUCAAAUUCAAAUUUCGUUUGACCUAGAUUUUGAAAACAAAACUGUAUAACUUUUUUUUUUCGAGUUGUAUAAUGUUUUGUUUUCAUCAUUCCCUAUAACAUUCACACUGUUCCUCAUGCUCGUGAUAAACUAGUCUAAUAAAAUAAUGUUUCUACUGUUGGAAGCGUAUGAUGAACACCUCAAAAAAUAAUCAUCAAAUAAAAAAUAUUUGAGAGGAAAAACAAACUUUAUUGGAAGAUUUUAACUUUUUCCAUGUGUAUUCUACUUCUCACUUAAAUGAUUUAGAUUAUAACAUUUCAAUCCAUAGGAUUGUCAUGAGCAUAGCUUAUACCACAAAUUAAACACAACAAUUAAAAACCUUAGGCUUAAUUAACAUGAAACUCUUACAAAAUUAACUCUAAACAUUUUAACUCACCUCCUUUUAAAAACAUGUUUAAUUUUCAACGUCCACAUGCUAGGCUUGGGAGGCAGGAUGUUCUUCAUUGUUUUCAAAUCAAAAGUGAAACAAGAGUUUUUGAAAUGGAACUUAUGGGUAAUUUGUAUAAAAAUCUCAAUACUUAAUAUGUGUAAUAAUAAAUAGGGUUACCAAGAACCAUCAGGCAAUUGUGUGUCCAGCAGAAAUUGAAUAGCCUUGUUGAUAAAAUUAUUGAUCUCUUCCUUUCUAUGUGAUGGGUAUUGUUUCCUAAACAAGAGUAUGGCUUGUAAUGAAGAUGAGGUGCACUCCACAUGUCUGAAAAUAUUAUUCAUAAAUUAAGAAUAAUAUUAAUUACCUUAACUAAUUAGGUUUAAUCAAAUAAAAUUCAAAAUUUAUGAUUUAAUUUAGUAGAAUGAAAAUUAAUUAAUGAAAAAUCAUACUCGUGAUCGAUGAUUAGGUCUUCAAGAAAUUCCACUGGAUUGAGCCACUAAACUCCAAGGUAAAAAUAAUUGAAUGAGUUUAAAAGAUAGAUUAAUAUGUUGAAGAACUUGACACGUCAAACAUUUGCAACAAUUUUUUUUAUUGAGAAAUUAUGAAUAUGGACCUUUUUUUUUCUUUCAAACAAGCCGUAACAGUUAACGACGGAUUAGUAAGGGCAGUCAAAUAUCUCAACAAUUAGACACUUUUUGAGAGAAGAUUUUUUUUUUUUAUUCUCUCAAUACUCACUCUCACUUUUCCUCACUCUAAGUUUGUCUAUUUUUCUCUAUAUUUCUCUUGGAUUACAAAUGAGAACACAUCUUCUAUUUAUAAGUGUGAGAUCCUUAAGAGUCUAACCAAAAAGUACAAUCGGUUCACAUGCUCUUUUUUAAUCCAUAAUAUCUUGGAUAUUUCUGUGUAUUUCAGUACCUAAUGAAACUCUCUAGAAUAAUUCCUUAAAGCCUGAAGGAAUGGACCCUUACUUCUGAUAUCAUUUUACAUAUUCAACGUUAAUUCUAAAAUUCUAAUAUUUACACAUUUUAAAGUCAAAUUGUAAAUAUUUCAAGAAACUUCCCAACUUAACUAGUAGUACUUAUUUUUGCCAUUUUUGCCAUUUUUGCAACCUAGUCCAAGCACUUAGCUAGUAGAAAAAAUUGUGCAAAUACUGAAAGAAAAAGAAAAGAAAAAAAAAGGAAAAGUUUUAUUAACUUGCCAAACUAUGGUUCGACAAUAGACUAUAAAAUAAUGGAUGCAUAUUCAAGUAGAUGGCAAGUAUUUUUCGUAUACCUCCAUCCAGUAAUAACUUGAUGCUGGUUCCCAGGCUGGUAUACCCCCAUUUUUGCUUUGUAGGUUUAGGAUGACAUUAACAGCAUCGUAGAAACGUUCAGGCUCCAUUUUUUUGCCAACUAUUUCAGGUGGUAGCAAGGAGAGAAGUAGACAACACUAGAAAAAUUUUACAAGUUUCAUUAAUUAUUGUUAAUAGUCAUAGCCAUUAAUGUGAAAUUAGUAAAAUAAAUGAAAGUUAAAGCCACACCUUUAAGUUCUCAGCAGUGCAAUCGGAAAGUUGCCAUCCAUGAUCACAGUCUGAAAAGGUCCAAGAUCCUUUAGACAUAUAGCGGAACAUACUUUUGUAGUCACCUGAAGGAUUGUUUCUGACCUACAAUUUCACCCAACAUAUAACUUAGCUUAUAAGUCUGAGUAAGGCACAAAAGCAAUCGAGAUGUAAUGUUUGGAUUGAUUUUUUAAAAUGUUUAAUUUUGUAAUAUUUUACUAUACUUAAAGAUAUUUUAGAAGUUUUGUUAUUUAAAAUAAUGUCAUCAAAAUGUAACGAGGGAGCUCCUUCGAAAAAUAUUUAAAAUGCAAAAAUAUAAUUUUAAAAAUAUUUGUUUAACUAAAUAAUCUAAAAAGUACUGUCUGAGUUAUUUAUCAAAAUUAAUUAGAAUAUAUUUAAUUACCUGAGAGUUCUUGAUGAAUUGAUGGCCAUUGUUGAUGGCAGUCUCAAUUUCAUGUGUGAUAUUACAAGAAAGUAGAGCUUCCAUGGCAAAAGCAGCAUCCCAUGAUUGGCUACCAAAACUUUGUAUUUUCAUACCAUCUUCAGCCAUCCAGAAAUAAUCAGGAAGUCUGGCUAAAUGCUUCUUCACACAUUCACUUUCUGGAUCUUCAAUCCAGCAAGCAAGCAUGCACAGUGGCUGUGGUAAAGCACCAUAACUUUGAGGAUUUAAUAUGCAUAGUAUCCAAGUAAUGUUUUAACCUAUAUAUAUCAUAUUAAAUAAAUGAUAAAUCGAGGGAUCUAUAGGUGUACCAAGAUAGCUCUAAUUCAAAAGUGAUGCAUGUUAAUCAAAACAAAAUAUAUAGAGAGAUACUGUCGAUGAGCUAAGAGUUGAGAUGUAACCUUUUCGACGCAGCCAAUGGUAAUGUAGCGACUAUUUUCAUCCUCAUAAUGAAUAUGUCUCAUAGUUUCAUUCAAGGCUUUUUGACGAAUCAAUUUGUUAAAAGGCCAUCGAGUCAGGAGUGGUUCAGUAAGUAAAUAAAGAGUGUCCCAAAGCAAGUCUUGAACAAAGGGAUGUGGAAAGUACAGAUCUUCCUGCAAAAAUAUAAUAUUAGUUAUAAAUACAUACAUAAUAUAUUAUAUUAUACGAUUUGGUAUGGCGUUGGCUAAGUUAAAUAUAUAUAGAAGGAAGAUAUAUCAUAUCUUACCAUAGCACACAUGUGACGAGCUUUCUUCCAAUUAAUUUGACAAUAAGGUUGAGUGUGAAGUUCAUCUCUUAGUUGUAAAAUAAAAGAGGUUAGAGGUGCUUGAAACCUUUUGCCAUACAAAUAAGACAUGGGCAUAUAGGUGAUUCGAGUGUAACACAUCAUGUUUACUGUAUGCAUCAAGUAAUCAAUCAAAAGUCGAACGUUUCAUAUAUAUAUAUAUAUAUGAAAACUUGAGUAUAAAUAUAUAUAAUAUGAUGAAUAUAAUAUUUUAUUUUAUUUUUGGAUAUAGUUGAAAGUUGAACUUACAUGGGUGAAUGGGGAGCCAAGUGGGUAACAUCCAAUAUUCAGGAGGCAUGGGGUUGCUUCCAGACCAAUCGAACACGUUUAAUAUCUUUACAUUAUUCAAGUUAAAAUAUGUCCUUAGGUUGAACACUUCAUAAUAUAAUAAGAGAUGGAGUCAAUUAAAAAGUGAAAAAUAGGUCAAAAUUUUCAUUUUAAUGGUUGUAUACAUUUAAAUGGUUCUUUUGUCACUAUCAUUUCAAACACAAAAGUAUUUACAAAUAUAGCAAUCAUUUUCUAAAAUUGCAAAAAAAAUAUCAAUAUAUGAAGAUGAGAUUGAUAUUUAUGUAUAGUACUUUUACAUAUUGGUAUAUAUAUGUCUACUGUUGAAUGUACCUGUAGUACUAUAUAUAUAAUUAAUAUUAAACUUUAAAAAAAUAGGUAUUAAAAUAAAAAAAUUUACAAUAUGAGAUGAAAUUGAUAUUUAUACCGAGAGCCAUGUCUUUCCCCAGGAAGGUAUCGAGGUGACACCACCACGGUGUCGUAUCCAAUUUCUGGAUCUGAAAAGUUGCUCAACCUCAGGUCCUUCCCCAAGUAAACGUAAAGAGAUGUAAUUGAAGGUAGUGCAGAACAUGUUACUGUGACCACCUACAUGCAACCCCCAUCCGCCAUCUUCAUUCUGCAAAGUAUUAUUAGUAUAACUUUACAUUAAUCAAUUAUGUACUCUAUGUCUCUCUACCUACGUGGUUUUUUUUUUUUUUUUUUUUUAUAGUGAAACAUAUAUGGUGUUUUUGAAAAAGAUAGGGUGUUGAGAACCUGAACCUCCAAAAAAAAUCUAUAUAUAUGACAUGCUAGAAGUGAGUUUUUCUGCUUUCUUUCAGUACAAUAGAGAAUGAGAAAGUCAAUAAUACAUGUUUUAUGAGCUAAAUUCACUUUGACAGAGUGAAAGUUUUUUUUGUAUAGUCUUUCCUCCGUUUCUCCUCUUCGUUUCACUUUGCUUGUUCUUCGUUCGUUUCUCUUCGUUUAGUUUCUAUUCGGAUUUCCUCUUCUCUUCGUUCUCUUUUACUUCCAUCAUUUUCUAAAUAAAAAAAACGUUUUUUUUUUUUUGUAAAAAGGUUCAUUUUUCUAAAAAAAAAGAGGAGGGUCAUUUUUGUCAAUUUUCCUUAAUCUUGUCGGACAUAUUUAUUUAAAUAAAUAAAUAAGGAAACAAACAAUCAAGGGAACGCGAAAGCCCUAUCUUUCUAGAUUGUUCAUCGUUUCCAGACUUUCGGUUCUGUUCUCAGAUCGCUCUCAAGUUUCGUCGUCUCCUCAGGUACUCUCCAUCUUCUUCUAUCUCUUUCUAUAACUUAUUGUUGAACUUUUUUAGGUUUUCGAGAGAGACUGAGAGACGAAAUGGAGCCGAAAGUGCCUAAUGUCUUGUGUUUUUUGUUGCCGUAAAUUCGAAAUUUAUGUUUGGUUUGAAUUUUCUCUUUUGCUUGUAAUUUCUGCUUCAUAAUACAGGGCUUUGUAAUUGGUCAUGUUAGGCUUCGUAUUUGGAUUAGAACGAGCUAUAGUUGAUCGUAAGCUUGAGGUCUAUUGGGUUGGAGUUUGGUGCAUUAGGUUUUUUUCCCCCCUCUAUUCUUCAUUUUAGCAAUUGGGGUCCUUUGCUUCUUUUUUUUUUGUUGUAAUUUUUAUAUUUAUAUGAUUGCUCGAUAAGCUUGUAGUGUAGAACUCGAGUGGGAAACAUCAAUGGCGAACAAAAUUAUUUUUUUCGAUCUUUACAUCAAGAUGAUAUUCACUGAAGUUUUAUGAAGAUGGAAAAAAGGCUCAACAUGACAUGCAUUCUUUCUUUUGGAAUCCAGACAAAUGCUAGUCUCGUUAGUCCUUCUAUUAACACUCUUCUCCAAAAAACAAUUCUUUAAGCACUUGAAGUAACCUCUUUGUAAUUUUUUUUUUGCUACAAGGACUUUUGAUUCCAUAAUUUUCCAAAUACGCGUUAUUUUGCAAUCAAUGUUUGGGAACGGUGAUUGUGUAGGUUUUUAGUUAAAAAAAAGUCCUCCUUUCCUUGCAAAUCUUUAUUUAACUUAUCAUAAAUGUGUAGGUUUUUAGUAAGCUUGAAGUGCACUGGUUAAAAGAAAAACAAAAACAAAGAAAAGAAUAAGCAAAAGAAAGCUCGAGGCUCACUAGUAUGCAAUAGUCCUCUAGGGCUGUGUAGUGCAGUUUUUUUUUUUUGUUUUUUAAAUUGAAUUUUUAUUUUUUUAUUUUUGAGGCACACACUGUAUUUAAAUAACAAAUAAAUCUAUGUGUAGAUGUACUUAUACAUAAACAUAAUAAUCACCAUUCAAUGUAUUGAAGACCAUUCAUUUGAUUUUUGCAUCACUCCUAUACUUCCUGUGAUGAAAGAGGUUUAGAAAUUGUCAUGGUUUUCCUUGUGAGAUAGUUGAGAUGCGUGUAAGCUGGCCUUGACACUCACGGAUAAAUAAAAAAAGGUUCAGAAAGGAAUAUGCUUUGCUGCAAUAUUGACUUUCUCAUUAUUUAUAUGUGAGUAGAUCAUGAAACAAGAUUCAAAUAUGGAAGCAGAUUCUGCUUUUCCUGAAUGUGAGGAGAAGGAAGUACGUAUGUCUGAUGUAGAAAAAAUGGAGGGGAAUGUAGAAGAGUUCUCGACUGAACAUGAAGGCAAAGAGAAAGAAGCAGUAUCUUCGGCAGUUCAAGAAGAUAGCAAAAUGAAAGAAGGCUCCCCUACAGAACAAGUAGAUGACAUGAAAGAAGCUGUAACUGAAGUUGGGAGCGCCACUGAAGCUGGGAAGUCUGCUCAAAAGUCCGUCAAAGAAGGGUUGCGUAAAAAGAGAAUUGUAAAAGUUCUGAAAGUAAAAAAGAAAAUUAUAAAGAAAUCCCCAGCUAACAGUGUGUUGAAAAAAAAAGAAGCACAGGUUGAACAGGAAGAUGAAAAAAGGAAAAAGAGGUUCCUGUAGCUCAAGAAGUGGAAGAAAGUCCUUUGACUCAGAACCCCACUGAAAGUUCCAAUCCAGAGUCAAAGAAGAAGAGUAAUAAUGAAGUUUUAAAGGUGAAAAGGAAAAUUGUAAAGAAAUCUCCAGCCAGUAGUCAAAAGAAGACUAAUAAGCUUCAGAAUAGUCCUAAGGUGCAAGUCAGAAAGAAAGUGGAGAAUAGUAAGAGUUCGUUGCAGGAGAAUGGGGAAGUAAGUGAAAAAAAGGUAGAAGAUACUGAGGAGCCUAACCAAAAGGAAAAUGUUAAGAAAAGUGUAUCAAAAGAGGAGCAUAUAGAAAAGGGAGAAGAGACUUCUGCUAGUAAAAAGCAAAAUUCUGAGUCUAAAAAUAGCGUCAAGGAAGGGAAGAUCAUAGAGAAGGCUGGUUCUUCAAGUAAAAGCAUAAAGAAUCAGAAAAAGAAAGAAAAGGUUAGAGAGCAAAGGAGUCGAAGGGAAGAUAAAAAUAAAGAAAAUCUUGGUGGACUGAUUUUCAUGUGCAGUGCAAAAACGAAGCCAGAUUGUUUUCACUACAACGUAAUGGGUGUUUCUGCUGGCAAAAUGGAUGUUGUCUUGGCAAUUAAGCCUGGCUUGAAGCUCUUUCUCUACGAUUUUGAUCUCAAGCUUCUGUAUGGGAUUUAUAAAGCAUCCUCUACCGGUGGCAUGAAACUUGAGCCAAAGGCUUUUAAUGGGGCUUUCCCUGCUCAGGUUCAAGUUUUGUUAGUUAUUAUAAACUACUCCAGAAGCUAUUCUUUUCAUCUGCCAAGGACAUUGUCUCAAUUCGAAAAUUAAAAUUUCAGGUGCGGUUCAAUAUUUACAAGGAUUGUUUUCCACUACCUGAGAAUGUUUUCAAGGAGGCUAUCCAAGAGAACUAUUAUGAGAAGCACAAGUUCAAAGCCGAGCUCACUGUUAAACAGGUGGAUGUGUCAGGUUUCUUCUGCUAGCUUGGGUUUUCAUUAGCACUCUUGAUUCUCUUUUUCCUGUGGUGACAUUCUAGGAUUUCAUUUUUUCAGGUUAGGAAGCUCUCAGAUCUUUUCCGACCAGUUGCACUCCAUUCGAGUGCUGCUCCUGUCUUGUCCCAUGUGGAGGUACCAAUUAGGGAUAGAAAUGUUUAUGGGAAAGCUAAAGACAUUCGGAUUAGGAACUCUAAGUCCAAGGAUGAUGCCAGGAAAAAAUACCAUUUGUCAUCUCAUGGAAGGGAUCGACAGAGAGAAGAGGCACCUAGACGUAGAGAGGAGGUUCCUCGUGAUUUAUACCUAAGCGAAAGGGACUAUCGAACAUAUGGGCUCCGGGCAGAGAGAAGAAAUUUAGACCCUGUAUCUCGAUCUUCUUUAGAAACAUACCGCAGGGAUCAUGAUAGGGACUAUCCACUGAAACAUCUAGAGCCUAGAUACAGGGAUGAUGUCUCGACACACGCACAGAGAGAAAUAGUCCAUUCGGAUCAAGUAUACUUUAAUGGGAAAGAUUAUCCAGUUUACAGUAUUGAUUCUAGACAUCAAAUAUCACCUCGAAGACCAAUAUCUGCUAGUGGUACAGAACACAAUGCUUAUGAUUCAAUUUACAGUCGUUAUGGCCUUUCUUCUAUUGAUCCAUAUCUGCUUUCAUCAAGGAGGGAGGAAGCAGCCCCUCCAACUUAUUCAAGAAGU
rnacentral:lncRNA from 1 species